UGGCGGUCAAAGCCAGAUGUUUAUGGCCUGUUGGGCCCCUACACAUCUGGAAAGGAGCCGGCCUGGGGUUGAAUCAGAACCAGGCUCCCGGAGCUGCCAGGCCGUCAUUAACCCUCAUGGCUCCCCUCUGAAGCGGGCACUGCAAGCAGACAUGUUAUUAAACCAUUUUUAAGGAAGCAGAGGGCUGGCGCCCAGAUGCCCUGCAGCCCAAGGGCCAAGCUGCAGGCAGAGAGCUGGCAGGUCCUGGACACCCCUUGUUCCUGCCCUCUCACC